rnacentral:rRNA from 1 species
AAAUUGAAGAGUUUGAUCAUGGCUCAGAUUGAACGCUGGCGGCAGGCCUAACACAUGCAAGUCGAGCGGUAGCACAGAGAGCUUGCUCUCGGGUGACGAGCGGCGGACGGGUGAGUAAUGUCUGGGAAACUGCCUGAUGGAGGGGGAUAACUACUGGAAACGGUAGCUAAUACCGCAUAAUGUCGCAAGACCAAAGUGGGGGACCUUCGGGCCUCAUGCCAUCAGAUGUGCCCAGAUGGGAUUAGCUAGUAGGUGGGGUAACGGCUCACCUAGGCGACGAUCCCUAGCUGGUCUGAGAGGAUGACCAGCCACACUGGAACUGAGACACGGUCCAGACUCCUACGGGAGGCAGCAGUGGGGAAUAUUGCACAAUGGGCGCAAGCCUGAUGCAGCCAUGCCGCGUGUGUGAAGAAGGCCUUCGGGUUGUAAAGCACUUUCAGCGGGGAGGAAGGCGGUGAGGUUAAUAACCUCACCGAUUGACGUUACCCGCAGAAGAAGCACCGGCUAACUCCGUGCCAGCAGCCGCGGUAAUACGGAGGGUGCAAGCGUUAAUCGGAAUUACUGGGCGUAAAGCGCACGCAGGCGGUCUGUCAAGUCGGA